UGGAGAAAAGCAGGGGAUCGUAAGACCUUGCGCUUUUGGAGCGGCCGAUGUCUGAUUAGCUAGUUGGUGGGGUAAUGGCCUACCAAAGCUUCGAUCAGUAGCUGGUCUGAGAGGACGGCCAGCCACACUGGGACUGAGACACGGCCCAGACUCCUACGGGAGGCAGCAGUGGGGAAUUUUGGACAAUGGGCGCAAGCCUGAUCCAGCCAUGCCGCGUGAGUGAAGAAGGCCUUCGGGUUGUAAAGCUCUUUCAGCCGGGAAGAAAAGGCUACGAUUAAUAAUCGCAGUUCAUGACGGUACCGGAAGAAGAAGCACCGGCUAACUACGUGCCAGCAGCCGCGGUAAUACGUAGGGUGCGAGCGUUAAUCGGAAUUACUGGGCGUAAAGGGUGCGCAGGCGGUUUUGUAAGUCAGAUGUGAAAUCCCCGGGCUUA
rnacentral:rRNA from 1 species